AGAUUGAACGCUGGCGGCAUGCUUUACACAUGCAAGUCGAACGGGGGCGGUGGGGCAACCCGCCAUUCAGUGGCGAACGGGUGAGUAAUGCAUCGGAACGUGUCCCGUAGUGGGGGGAUAACCCGGCGAAAGCCGGACUAAUACCGCAUAUGCUCUACGGAGGAAAGCGGGGGGACCUGAAAGGGCCUCGCGCUAUGGGAGCGGCCAUGUCCGAUUAGCUUGUUGGUGGGGUAAUGGCCUACCAAGGCGACGAUCGGUAGCUGGUCUGAGAGGAUGAUCAGCCACACUGGGACUGAGACACGGCCCAGACUCCUACGGGAGGCAGCAGUGGGGAAUUUGGACAAUGGGGGCAACCCUGAUCCAGCCAUGCCGCGUGCGGAAGAACGGCCUUCGGGUUGUAACCGUCUUUAGUCGGAAGGAAAGCACGGUGAAGACCCCGUUGUUCGUAGCGGUACGCGGAAUAAGCACCG
rnacentral:rRNA from 1 species